rnacentral:rRNA from 1 species
AGGGAUUGCCUCAGUAACGGCGAGUGAAGCGGCAACAGCUCAAAUUUGAAAUCUGGCUCCUUCGGGGCCCGAGUUGUAAUUUGCAGAGGAUGCGUCGGGUACGGGUGCCUUCCGAGUUCCCUGGAACGGGACGCCAUAGAGGGUGAGAGCCCCGUCUGGUAGGAUACCCAGCCCGUGUGACGCUCCCUCGACGAGUCGAGUAGUUUGGGAAUGCUGCUCUAACGGGAGGUAUACUCCUUCCAAGGCUAAAUACCGGCUGGAGACCGAUAGCGCACAAGUAGAGUGAUCGAAAGAUGAAAAGCACUUUGAAAAGAGAGUCAAACAGCACGUGAAAUUGUUAAAAGGGAAGCGCUCGCUACCAGACUUGGGUUCGGCGGUUCAACCGGGGCCACGCCCCGGGGCAUUCCGCCGGCCCAGGCCAGCAUCAGCUUUCCGUCGGGGGUAAAGGCGUCGGGAAUGUGGCUCCCCUUCGGGGGAGUGUUAUAGCCCGUCGUGUCAUACCCUUCGGGGGGCUGAGGUACGCGCUUCUGCAAGGAUGCUGGCGUAAUGGUAGCUAGUGACCCGUCUUAACACGACAAA